rnacentral:rRNA from 1 species
AACGUAGGUGGCAAGCGUUAUCCGGAUUUACUGGGCGUAAAGGGUGUGCAGGCGGGGAAACAAGUGGUGUAUGAAAUCGCCACGCUUAACGUGGCGGGGUUAUGCCAGACUGUUUUUCUGGAGGACGAGAGAGGGGCGUGGAAUUCCGGGUGUAGUGGUGAAAUGCGUAGAGAUCCGGAGGAACCCCAGAGGCGAAGGCGGCGCCCUGGCUCGUACCUGACGCUCAGACACGACAGCAUGGGGAGCGAACGGG